UAUAGAGGAAGAAAUGGAGAUACAAUGAGAUCUAAUAAUUUGCCUAAGGGAAAGUACGUCAUAGCAUACUGAGGAAACUGGUUCCUAUGCUUCUAAAUGCAACCUCCAACUAGCGCAGCUCAAGGAUACCACAUACUUUGGCAGCCAACAUUCAGAAGGGAAGUGCUUUAAUGGCAAUAAGUGAUGCCAAUGAAACCUUUCCCACAAUGCUCAAAACUUAGUGGUUGGAGGCUGAGGCACUAAUGGCAGGACAAAAGAGGAUA